AACGAACGCUGGCGGCAGGCUUAACACAUACAAGUCGAACGGGUGUAGCAAUACAUCAGUGGCAGACGGGUGAGUAACACGUGGGAACCUUCCUAGGGGUACGGAACAACUCAGGGAAACUUGAGCUAAUACCGUAUACGUCCGUGAGGAGAAAGAUUUAUCGCCCUUAGACGGGCCCGCGUCGGAUUAGCUAGUUGGUGGGGUAACGGCCUACCAAGGCGACGAUCCGUAGCUGAUCUUAGAGGAUGAUCAGCCACACUGGGACUGAGACACGACCCAGACUCCUACGGGGGGCAGCAGUGGGGAAUCUUGGACAAUGGGCGCAAGCCUGAUCCAGCCAUGCCGCGUGAGUGAAGAAGGUCUUCGGAUUGUAAAGCUCUUUUGCCAGGGACGAUAAUGACGGUACCUGGAGAAUAAGCCCCGGCAAACUUCGUGCCAGCAGCCGCCGUAACAC
rnacentral:rRNA from 1 species